GUCUACGGACAUACCACCCUGAACACGUCUGAUCUCGGAAGCUAAGCAGGGUUGGGCCUUGUUAGUACUUGGAUGGGAGACCGCCUGGGAAUACCAGGUGUUGUAGGCU